CCUACGGGGGGCAGCAGUGGGGAAUAUUGCGCAAUGGGCGAAAGCCUGACGCAGCGACGCCGCGUGAGGGAUGAAGGUCUUCGGAUCGUUAACCUCUGUCAGUAGGGAAGAACGGUCACUGUGCUAAUCAGCAGUGAAUUGACGGUACCUGCAAAGGUAGCACCGGCUAAAUCCGUGCCAGCAGCCGCGGUAAUACGGAGGGUGCUUGCGUUAAUCGGAAUUACUGGGCGUAAAGCGCGCGUAGGCGGUAUGUCAAGUCAAGGGUGAAAUCCCCGGGCUCAACGUGGGAACUGCCUUUGAUACUGGCAAACUGGAGUGUGUGAGAGGAUAGUGGAAUUCGAGGUGUAGGAGUGAAAUGCGUAGAUAUCUGGAGGAACAUCAGUGGCGAAGGCGACUAUCUGGCACAUAACUGACGCUGAGGAGCGAAAGCGUGGGUAGCAAACAGGAUUAGAUACCCUUGUAGUC
rnacentral:rRNA from 1 species